UGGUGUGCAAGACCCCAACCUCUCUGACUUGUGCUCCAACCCAUCUGAUUUCUCCUCCUGCUCUAAAGACCAGAAGGUAAAAAGUUUAUUUUGAUUUUUCUUAGAGGUUUGGUACCUUUUUUUUAAUUUUUCUUGAAUUUUUUCUUUAUAUUUUCUCCUAAAGUUCACAGAUGGCUUAAUCCUCUAUUUUUUGAUUUUUUUUCUAAAUUUUUCUUUAGGUUUGCGCUGCAUCAAUUCUUCGUUAUUCAAGGUAAUUUUCUGACAACUAAAGCUUCGCAUCAAGCUAGCCUAGUUGUAUACCAUUGCCAUUAUAUAUAUUAUUUUAUUCCUUCUUUUGUGGCUUAAUGAACUUACUUUGUCUUGUGUUGUCCAUACAGAUUAGUGUUGACAUUAACGUCGAGUCUAAUAUAGUAGAUGUACCUACUGAUGUGGAUGACGAUGUGGUUGAACUUGAGGAGGUAACAAUAAGAACUGGUGAUAGUAAAAAAUGAGUGAAGCAUCGGAGAAGGCUAACUUCAAAAGUUAAUUUGUGCUUCUUUUGAAAUGCUUCCUUUGGGUCCUGACAAGAAAGAGACGUGCAAAUGCAAGCAAUGUGGAAAUAUCUAUUUAUCUGAUAGCAAACAAGGAACUGAAAAUUGGAGCGACAUUUAGAGACUUCUAUGAAAAGAGACACUUGUGAUACUGGACAACUUAUCAUUCA
rnacentral:lncRNA from 1 species